GAGUGGCAAACGGGUGAGUAACACGUGGGUGACCUGCCUUCGAGUGGGGGAUAACGUCCCGAAAGGGACGCUAAUACCGCAUGACAUCCUGGCUUUGAACAGGCGGAGAUCAAAGCCGGGGAUCGCAAGACCUGGCGCUCAAAGAGGGGCCCGCGCCUGAUUAGCUAGUUGGUGGGGUAAUGGCUCACCAAGGCAACGAUCAGUAUCCGGCCUGAGAGGGCGGACGGACACACUGGGACUGAGACACGGCCCAGACUCCUACGGGAGGCAGCAGUGGGGAAUUGUUCGCAAUGGGCGCAAGCCUGACGACGCAACGCCGCGUGGAGGAUGAAGACCUUCGGGUCGUAAACUCCUUUCGUUCGAGACGAAUGGCCUUCGGGUGAAUAGCCCGGAGGAAUGACGGUACCGAGAGAAGAAGCCCCGGCUAACUCCGUGCCAGCAGCCGCGGUAAUACGGAGGGGGCAAGCGUUGUUCGGAAUUACUGGGCGUAAAGGGCUCGUAGGUGGCCAACUAAGUCAGACGUG
rnacentral:rRNA from 1 species